UACGUAGGGUGCGAGCGUUAAUCGGAAUUACUGGGCGUAAAGCGUGCGCAGGCGGUUAUGUAAGACAGAUGUGAAAUCCCCGGGCUCAACCUGGGAACUGCAUUUGUGACUGCAUAGCUAGAGUACGGUAGAGGGGGAUGGAAUUCCGCGUGUAGCAGUGAAAUGCGUAGAGAUGUGGAGGAAUACCGAUGGCGAAGGCAAUCCCCUGGGCCUGCACUGACGCUCAUGCACGAAAGCGUGGGGAGCAAACAGG
rnacentral:rRNA from 1 species